UCUUUAAAGAUUUUCAAAUCUUUCCAAAUAUUCUCAAGAUUAUCAAAUCCUCUUUAAAGAUCACAAAUCUAUCCUAAGAUUUCCAAGAUCAAUUCAUAUCUUGCUAGAGAAAUUCUCUCUCCCCUUCACUCCAAACUUUCGACCACCACCUCUCUCUCCUCUCUCUCACAUUUCCACCAUUGACAACCAUUAACGAGACCUUGGGAGCUUCACAAAAUCACACCAAAAUCACAAAUCACCCUCUAAAUCCCACCUAAACACCUCUUAUCAACUUGAAUUCAAGAGAAUCCUUGAAGAUUGGCUUCAAGACUAGAGAGAGAAAAUUUGAUAUUUGGUGUAAGCUUGGACACGAGCAGAGCAGGGAAGUAAGUAACUCCGCUUUGACGGGAGUUUUUGAGUAAGGUCUUCAGGCUAAGCGAGGAGCGAGAUUGGUCUGGUGCUGGCGGGGAAUUGUUAGAGGAUGUAUUUACUUUAUCGUAUUUCCUUUUUGACGAUAAAGUCUUGAUAAUUGAUAUACUUGGAUUUUCUUUUGAAGUUAAGCAAUGUACUCACGGUUAUAUGUCUUCAUACAUAUAAUCGAUUCGCCUUUUGCUGCGAUACUCUGCAUAUUAUGAUUACUUACGAAAAAUGAGCGAUACCCGUUUUGUUUUU